rnacentral:tRNA from 1 species
GGGCCCGUGGUCUAGCGGUAUGACGCCACCCUUACAAGGUGGAGAUCGAGGGUUCGAAUCCCUCCGGGCCCA